AGUUUAUGAAAGGGCGGAAUGCACUUUGUUUGUUAUCCACCAUUGAUAGAGAAAAAUCUAACGGACACAAAUGAUCUAUUUUGUGUUUCUUCUCUCAACUCUUUUCUUUACUCUUUCUUCCUUUCACUCAACUCUUUUCUUUCUUCAGAUUGAAUCUUUUCUCCUGCUCUCUUCGUUACACGUUAACAUAGAACGUCUAUGAUCAAAUCUGAGAAAUGAAAGAGGUGAUGAAACGCGAAGGAGAAGUGGUGGCGUGAUGAAGCGGACGCGGUGGUGGCGUGAGGAUCGGAGGCAGUGUGACGAAACGAAUUUUCACAAGAGCCUGAGAUGACUCGGUGGUUUCAGUUUAGAUGAUGACUCGGUGAGUUCGAGAAGAGGAAGAUGGAGAUAGGUGAAUGUGUCCAGGCUAGGCGGCGGUGGAGGCGAGACGAAUGAAAGCUUACCGGUAGUGGACGUGUGAUACGGAGGUGAACCGGAGGCGGAGGUGACAAAAGCGGUGGCGGAGGCUCAACGUAGAAAUAUGUUUUUUAUUUGUUAUAUUUUAUAAUUAAUUAAUAAAAAUAUUUUUUUUUUA